GGCAUAAGUCGCAAAGGAUUUUAUUAUUGGUAGCAGAGAUCUUAAGUUCGAAUCCUAAUUGGUGCACAUUUCUAGCUAAGUUUAUUUCUAAAUAAAAUAAACGAAACAAGUAGCAUGCUACCUAUCUCUCUCUCUCUCUAAAAAAAAAAAAAAAAGUGGAGAAAAGUGAAGUUGUUUGCGACUGUAAAAUAUUAUUUUCGCUGUUUGAUUUGCAUUAAUAAAACACAGUCGAAACUUGAGUUAUCUCAAAUAGCGUAAUUUGUCUUCGAUCCACUUUGGAUCGAAGUCAAUUAUGGUAAAACGAGGUGAAGAAAAAAAAUUAAUAAAAUAAUACUGUGGAUAAUGCUAGCUAUAUUUAAAUAUAUUUGAUUGUGGUACUGAUUACUUUUUUGUUUAGUUUAUAUAUUUAAAAUGUGAUGAAAAUUGAUUAAUUGAGUAUUAAUAUUUCUUUUACUCUAUGAUUUUAUUGUUGUAAUAUUAUAAUUUAUGUAUAAAAAAUUAAUUUAGUUAUUUUAGGUUAUAUUUUUAAUUAAUAGGGAUACAAUUAAUUUAUUUUUUUAUAUUAUAAUUUAUUAUUUAUCAAGUUAUAUAUAUAUAUAUAUAUAAAGAGGAAAGAGAGAGAGAGAGAGAGAGAAAGAGAGAGAGGCUACUAUACUCUUAUAAGUAUGAUCGCCCUUGUACUCAUAAGUUGUUUUCGAUGAUAGAGCUUCCAAAUCGACGAUCCACACUGUUAAACAUUAUCUAGAGCAUUUAAAACUUCUAGAAAUUAAUUUUCAUAAUUUUUUGACAUCAUUUGCCUUACGAUCAAAAACUCACAAAAUUGACAAUUUUUAACAACCGUUAUGGGAUACUUGCUAGUUUAACGGUGUAAAUGAAUCGGAAUUGGUUGAAAUUUUGAUAGAAAAUUCUAUUCACUACCUAGAUAAAGAUCAAUAACUCCGAUCUUAAAUUGAAGGAUCCGAUCAUCCAUUUUUAGGACGUCGUUCGAUUUUGAUAGUUCAUUUUAUGCCCGCUUGAUGGACUUUAUUAUGAUUUCGAAAAAUUACGAAAUUUAUUUUCUAAAAGUUUCAAAUACUCUAGAUCAUAUUUAACGAAGUGGAUCGUCGAUUCGGAAGCUCCAUCAUCGAAAACAACUUAUGAGUACGAAGGGCCCAAUACUCAUAAGAGUAUAGUAGCCCUACUCU
rnacentral:lncRNA from 1 species